AGCACGAUGCCGCGCAGGAAUGUGAAAGGCGCGCGCCCGCCGCCAUUUUCUCUCUUUCUUGGCAGACAGCGGCAGCGGCCGGAGCGGCGCCGGGGAGGCCAUGGCGGACUAUUCCACGGUGCCCCCUCCUGCCGCGGGCGCGCCCGGGGGAGGUGGCGGCGGGGCUGGAGGAGUGAACGAUGCCUUUAAAGACGCGCUGCAGAGGGCUAGGCAGAUUGCAGCAAAAAUUGGAGGAGAUGCUGGCACAGCAAUGAAUUCAAACGACUACGGUUAUGGAGGGCAGAAAAGACCUCUUGAGGAUGGAGAUGGCUCUUGGACAAGUCCGAGCAGUACAACACACUGGGAGGGAAUGCCCUCUCCUUUUAAAGAUCAACCAGAUGCUAAGAAAGUUGCUCCCCAGAAUGACUCUUUUGGAAAUCAGCUACCACCGAUGCAUCAGCAGCAAAGGUCUGUGAUGACAGAGGAGUACAAAGUUCCAGAUGGGAUGGUUGGAUUCAUAAUUGGCAGAGGUGGAGAGCAGAUCUCACGGAUACAGCAAGAGUCUGGCUGUAAAAUACAGAUUGCACCUGAUAGUGGAGGCCUGCCUGAAAGAUCAUGUAUGCUAACUGGAACACCAGAGUCUGUUCAGUCAGCAAAAAGAUUGCUUGAUCAGAUAGUUGAAAAGGGAAGACCUGCACCUGGAUUUCAUCAUGGUGAUGGACCUGGAAAUGCAGUCCAAGAAAUUAUGAUUCCAGCAAGUAAAGCAGGAUUAGUUAUUGGGAAAGGUGGAGAGACAAUUAAACAAUUACAGGAGCGGGCAGGUGUCAAAAUGGUCAUGAUUCAAGAUGGUCCACAGAACACUGGUGCAGACAAGCCCCUUAGAAUAACUGGAGAUCCUUAUAAAGUUCAGCAAGCCAAGGAAAUGGUGCUGGAGUUAAUUCGUGAUCAAGGUGGCUUUAGAGAGGUGCGCAACGAAUAUGGGUCAAGAAUAGGAGGAAAUGAAGGGAUAGACGUUCCAAUACCACGAUUUGCUGUAGGUAUUGUAAUUGGAAGAAAUGGAGAGAUGAUUAAAAAGAUCCAGAAUGAUGCUGGUGUUAGGAUCCAGUUCAAGCCAGAUGAUGGAACAACUCCAGAUAGAAUAGCCCAGAUCACAGGGCCUCCUGACAGAUGUCAGCAUGCUGCAGAAAUUAUUACAGAUCUCCUUCGCAGUGUUCAGGCUGGUAACCCUGGUGGACCAGGACCUGGUGGUCGAGGAAGGGGUAGAGGCCAAGGCAACUGGAACAUGGGGCCUCCUGGUGGAUUACAGGAGUUCAAUUUUAUUGUCCCUACUGGCAAAACUGGAUUAAUCAUUGGAAAAGGUGGUGAAACUAUUAAAAGUAUAAGCCAACAGUCUGGUGCUAGGAUAGAGCUUCAGAGAAAUCCUCCACCUAAUGCCGAUCCAAACAUGAAGAUGUUUACUAUCCGUGGAACACCCCAGCAAAUAGAUUAUGCACGACAACUUAUAGAAGAAAAGAUUGGAGGUCCAGUGAAUCCAUUGGGUCCACCUGUUCCCCAUGGUCCCCAUGGUGUUGUUCCUGGCCCUCAUGGACCUCCUGGACCACCAGGUCCUGGUGCUCCCAUGGGACCAUAUAAUCCAGCUCCUUAUAACCCAGGCCCUCCUGGUCCUGCACCUCAUGGUCCUCCAGCUCCAUAUGCUCCACAGGGAUGGGGAAAUGCUUAUCCACACUGGCAGCCACCAAACCCACCAGACCCAGGUAAGCCAGGAACAGAUCCCAAUUCAGCAGCAUGGGCAGCUUAUUAUGCUCACUAUUAUCAGCAGCAAGCACAGCCACCACCUGCAGCCCCUCCUGGUGGACCAGCUACAACCCAAACCAAUGGACAAGGAGAUCAGCCAAAUCCAGCACCAGCAGGGCAGGUUGACUAUACCAAGGCCUGGGAGGAGUACUACAAAAAAAUGGGUCAAGCUGUUCCUGCCCCUGCUGGGGCUCCUCCGGGCGGGCAGCCAGAUUACAGCGCAGCGUGGGCUGAGUACUACAGGCAGCAGGCAGCGUACUACGCUCAGACAAGUCCACAGGGAAUGCCACAGCAUCCUCCAGCACCACAGUGCCUUCCCAGACCUUCCACCUUAGGUUCUGCUGCAAAAAAGCAACAGGUAAGCACAACCUAAGGAAGUAUAUAAAUUAAUAUAUUUCAGUACAUUAAUGUUGUCCCUGUGAGAUCUUUGUGGUUGUGUAUUGAAAAGCAAUCUGCUGCUUCCCCAAAUGCAUUGUUACUCACGGUUCCAUUUGAAUGGAAAAUCUUAAGUUUUUAAACAACUGUUUAUAUUUCUAGGUCAAUAUGUAUUUUUGCUUUUUUCCUUUUUCUUUUUUUUUUUUUUUUUUUUUUUAGAAAAGAUUACUAGAUUGCAGUAAUUGAACUUGAUCAGAAUAAGUAAUUUUUGUUAUUUUACCCAAAUAGAUAAUUGUUGCAAUUAAAGAAUCAAAACCUUUAAAAUGUGCAGGAAUUGCUUUGGUUAGAAAUGUCAACAGCCUUCACAAAUGUUUUUUUAAUAAGAGGGCACUAUUCCCACUUAAUCCAUAAGACCUAAAUGUAAAGAAUGACUUCUUGUUGUUAUCACUGAACUUCAUAACUUGUCUUACAGUUAUAGUGUGUUAGUGGAGUUUGCUUAUUCAUACUUGACAUGGUAGGAAAAGAGAUUUUGGAGUCUGAGAUGAGUAUGUUUUAACUGAAAAAGCAUGAGCACCAGUUAACAGUACAGCAAAUAAUAUUUUAUUGCUAUAGCAGUCAGUGUAUCCUGUUUCUUGAUAUUUUUAACUGAAUUGCUGAAUAUUUUGAUAGUAUAAAAUGUUAAAUGUCUUGCAGAUGGUCUGGUACAGGUUUUUAUUCUCAGCUUUUGUUGUUGGUUUUUUAGCUUAACAUAAAGCAGCAUCUGUUUGGUUUUUUUGUUCAUUAUUCUGGUUCUAAAAUGUGCUGCUCCUCUUUCAAAAGUCCUGCUUAUCUGUACAUCAAAGAAAAAUAUUCAAAAAUACUGCCUUCAUUUUCACACACAGUGCUGAAGAUGCUGCAAGCACCAAAUCAUAGCUCAUAGAAUCAGGUCCUGAGAUAGUUACUACCAGUAAAGAGGAAUCCUUUGAGUGUAUGCCAUUGGUGAGCCGAUGAGCAUGGACCAUAGAAGGGCUCCAUGUAGAAGACAUUUAAUCAUCACUGAAGAAAAGUAAUUGAGAUACUCUGAUGUCCUCGCUAUAGCUUCUCCCCAGUGAACACUUAAGUGCUAAGAGAAGCCUGUGGUUUGCAAGCUGCAAUCAAGAACCCCUUUCAGAGGACAUCCCAGAGUACUUUAUCUCUUCAUGGAGGAAGUGGACUGGGAGCUGUCAGAGUACUGAUAAUCCAGAUCUCUAUGCUGUGAGCAGCCCUGGGACUGGUAUUUGGGGUAGCCCAUUAAGGGAAUUAGAGAAAUCCUUAUUUGAAAUUUUUAAGGGAAAAAAUUUAAGAAUUUAAGGAAAUUAACUGCUGAAUUCUUAAGAAAAAUGUUUACUUCAAAUUUUGACAACCACUGGUCAGCAGGUACAGCUUCAUAUUAAAAAAAUUCUUUUGAUGUGGAGAAUUUGUAAAUUAUUUCAUAUUACUUGAUAAAUAAAUGCAUAAGCAUAAGGAAGGGAGAUGUGAACUAAUCUUCAGUUAGAACACCUAAGUGACUUCAUGGAGUUCACUUUCCUUCAGUUUCUUCUCUGUUCUCCUUUACUAGAAUCCCUUGCCCCAAACAAUAAAGAAAAAUGUGCGUUAUUGAUAUAAUAGCAAGGUUAUUGGUAUGAAACAACAGUUAUUUAUUGGAGGUGGAGAUGAAAAAGUACAAUUUGGGUAUCUGCCUAAACCUAGAAAUCUCUCAAUAUGGACCAGUUGGGAAUUUGUGUGCUUCAGCUUUCUAGAAGUUCUGUAUUGUUGGUUUUGUUUAAGUUUGUUUCUGUAGAAUAUAAAUGUCUUGAAUGUUUUUGAAAUAUAAUUAAAAUAGUGAUCUAGAGCUGUUUUUCCAAGACUGUUCAUGCAUAAUUAUACUCUGUUAAAGCUAGCAAAUUCCUAUAAAUAAUAAUUUCCAAGUUUUUAUGCAAGAUUAAAAUCUCAUUUCUUGUUAAUCUUGUUUGUAUGUGAUUUUGUAUGUGAAUUAAGAAGGUCACAGUGAUCAUGACUAUACAGGGGAGAAGUAUUCAAAUACAGAUCUUUAACAAUGCUAUUGGAGUAUGGAAAAAUAAGGAAAUACAGAAUUAUUUUAUAUGGUUAGGUUAAUACUAAGUGUAUGAUUCCUUCAGUGUGAUCAAAGAACAAACUAUAGUGAGCUCUGUUUAUAGCUGAUCUAACUCUGACUUAUGAUAAAGAACACAUAUGGAGGCAGUUUUCCAAGUAAUAUAGAACAGGAUCUGUGGGCUGCAUUUCUGACAAUUUGGGGGACUUCCUCUAGUAAUUUAUAGUAUGUUGUUGUUUAUAUCGGUACAUAAAAAAAGAGCUGAUCAGUCUUUUUUUUUUUUUUAAUCUUUUUUCAUAAGAGAAAAGUUGCAGUUGGUGUAUAUUUCUAUCACAUUUACAAAUAAAUAUGAGGAUAAGAAACA